rnacentral:tRNA from 1 species
AGUUGCUUAGCCAAUGGAACGGCAGUUGUUUUGAAAACAACCUAUAAAGGUUUGAAUCCUUUAGUAAUUU